GACUCAUGUCAGACAAACUCCAGAAACAACAUCAGUCCAGGAGGGGGACACAGUUAAUCUCCGCUGUUCUCUUCUCUCCAGCAGUAGAGAAAACACCAAUCAUAAUCCAUCUGAUUACAAUGUGUACUGGUUCAGAGCUGGAUUUGGAGAAUCCCGUCUGAGUUUUAUUUAUACUCAGAACAACAGCUAUGAUGCUUGUAAGAGUAGCUGUGUCUUCCAGCUGUCCAAAAGUAUACAUAACUCCUCAGAUACUGGGAUUUACUACUGUGCUGUGAUCACAUGUGGAAACGUCUUGUUUGGAAAAGGAACUAAAGUAGAGAUGAGUAAACCUUCGGAACCUGUUCUAAUUGUCUUGGGUGUGCUGUUGGGGCUUUGUGUGAUUGUGAUUUCAGUUCUAAUAUUCUCCAGAGAUUAGAGGCUCCAAAUAGGAAUCUGCUGACUGAGUUUUUCUACGCUGCAAGAAAAAAGACAUGGCGGAUUAUCAUCUAUCAACAAGUACAGACUUUAAUUUUUGAGAAGACAAUAUCUAUUCUAAGUGUAUAAAAUAUUCAAAACAUUUCUUGUAAGUUUUCUUUGUGUUUAGAUUUGUAAAGAAGACAAUAGAAACUUUUUGCUCUAAUGUUACAAGAUGUUUUUUUAGACGUGAGACUGACUCGCCACUGUAUAAUUGUUCUUUCUAUAAUCUUACCUACUAAUGUUUUUUUUUUCUUAGAAUGAUCUGUGUUUAUUUUUUUUCCUGAAUUAUUGCAUUAUUUCAACUGCAUGCAUAACAUGCUGUUGAAAAGGUAUUUAUGUGAUUUUUUUAUAUAUAAUUAUAUAAUAUUUUACAUGCUGUUUCUACACUGUGAUUAAAUAUUUGUUCAUGCUACUUUCAUGUUGCAAUGGUGAAAUACAUGUAAUACUUAUUAAAAUGGGGUACAUAUUAGCUACAUUUCCAGUAGAAGCAGUUCCAGCUUGUUUCUUAAUUCACAAUAUGAACAGUGGUUCAAACAUAGUAUACACAUAAUCAAGCAUUUUUAAACUACAGAAUAUGUAAAGACUUUCACACCAAAACAGGUUGUGAUUCCUAACUGACAUGAAAUUGACAAAUAUCUCAGUAACCAGGUCAAAGUAAAUAUUUGUUACUCCAUAAAAGCAAGGAAAAUGUCAGUUCCAAAAAUUUACUCACAUAUUAUUAGGACGUAAGGUUUUAUAC